rnacentral:rRNA from 1 species
UACAGAGGUCUCAAGCGUUGUUCGGAUUCAUUGGGCGUCAAGGGUGCGUAGGUGGCGCGGUAAGUCGGGUGUGAAAUUUCGGAGCUUAACUCCGAAACUGCAUUCGAUACUGCCGUGCUUGAGGACUGGAGAGGAGACUGGAAUUUACGGUGUAGCAGUGAAAUGCGUAGAGAUCGUAAGGAAGACCAGUGGCGAAGGCGGGUCUCUGGACAGUUCCUGACACUGAGGCACGAAGGCCAGGGGAGCAAACGGG